CUUUUCAGAAAGAACAUUAUCACACAGAUUUACCUUGGUGUUCAGCUAAUUCUUUCAGCUGAUGGAAAGCGCCUCUCACAGCAUCUCUGCAUUCAGGGGCAACGCUCUCAAAAUCCUUUGAAAGAGAAACAUAAGAAUGGAAAACCAACCUGGCAGAUCACAGGCCCAGAAAACUGAUGCCCUCUCCUAAACAGCCAGGCUCCAACUCAUAAACAAGCUCUGGGGAAAGUUUAUCUUUGAAUUCUCACAAACAUCCUGUCUUACUCUCCUUUCGGGUCAUAAAACAAUCCCUGCCAGGACUCAGAGAGGACGCCAAUAAAAGUUAAGUGACAGUGAGCCAAUUUAUGACCCUCACUAAUCCCCCCAUCAGGAUGAUAUCUGGACUUCAAUAAAGGGAACAAGAAACAAAAGAAACCAACUUUGCAAUUCAAAAUCAAAUGUACAUUAAUUGAUACCAUGUUUUAUUCAUGUUUUAAGAAGAAUGCAAAGUUAUUUCAACAUGCUGAUUUUGAUACAGGAACUGAACUAAUCCAGAAAGGAGAUGUAAAUGGUAAUGUCAAAUGUCACACCUAAUGUGUGACUGCUAGGGGGUUGGUUCUUCCCCCUUCUUCUGCAUGCCUCUCGGAGACAAACAAAAGACAUUCCUGUGAAGAAUAUGGACAUAACACUGACCUGUAUUGAUUUGAUUUUACUUUCUCAUUUAAAUGACAUCAACUGUGUAUAACUACAGUGCAUACUUUCCGGCUGCACUGUGGUUAUACACAGUUGAUGCUGAUUAACUGAUUAAACCUCCAUCAGUUUGUUCCUCUGGUCUGAUUUUCACAACUCCAACUCUUCAUAAAGAAUUUGUACAUCAAAAUAUAGGAAAAUGUGUGGUGGUCGCAGACAUGUAACUAUGGAAUCAAACAGACUCACACAGUUUGCACAGUCAGCUUCAAAGUGACAGCAGUGCCAGCCAACUGUCGUAUCGACUUACCGCAUAUUAACUGAGACCAGAAUUUUCAGAAGGGAGGCAGAAAUAGGGACAUUUCUAACCUGCUCUCACUCCCACAUUUUUGACACUACACACACAAAUCUCUCACAGCCUCUUCAGCUGCUUCUCCUCUCUCUUAUGGUAUUUUUACUUAGGUGAUAAGAGUUACGGUCUUUGAGCUAGAAGCAGGACUUUGAGAGGUGCGCCUUAGCUAAAAUGUCUAUGAAAUGAACUCCCUCAGCCAGGAGUCACACAGCAGUUACCAUCACCAUGGCGACCUUGGAUCUCAGGGGAGACACAGCGGAUUGAUAUGAGCUAAUUAGUGCAGUUUGACACACACACACACACACACACACCACUCAGACAUCUUACUUUUUCAAGUUUCAUCUGCUCAUUUAUAUUUUCAGAUAUAAAUUCCAUAUUAAUCUUAAAUUGUUCCACAUCUUUUAAUGCAAUAUGAGGCUUAUUCAACUUUUAAAUCCUAUUCAUGCUAAUUAGACGCUUUUCCCAUGUUUUCAAGUCUUCAUUUCAACUUUUAUCUAUUCAUACUUUCUGGGAAAAACUUAUAAUGUUCCACAUCUUUCAUACAUUAUUGGUACUAUUCAACUCUUGAAGCUAGCAAUUCAGUUUAGCGUCAGCUUUUCAACAAACCUUAAAAUAUUCCACAUCUUUCAUACAUUAUUAGUAUUAUUCAACAUUUAAAGCUAGCAAUCCAGUUUAGCAUCAGCCUUUCAACAGCUAGCAUUCACACCCGCAAUUUCUGAAGAAAUUGCUUCUCUAGUUACUGUUGGAAGUGUGAAAAUGAAGGUGGUACUUCGACAGAAAGCUCCUUUGUCUCUUAUUCUUGGAAACAAAUAAUCAAAAGUAUUGGAGAGUGGUUGAAUAAAUUAAUAAAUAAGUUGUUUAUUAGGAGCUAGGUCUCUACUUCAACCAGGUAUGACCAAACAAGAAUUUGGACUUGCUUUGGGAGGCUUUACUAGCACUUGAAUGAUUGUUCUCUGGCCAUUGGAAAAGUCAGACAGAGCCUGAUUUUGUUUUGUUUUUAACCUGAUUCCAAGAUCUAGUAACUCACUUCCUGUUUGUGUAUCUUUUCUUUAAAAUUUAUUUGUGCACCAUGGCAAAAAAAUAUCAAGAAAUUGAAGAAACCAGCAGGUUCAAUGGAUUCAGCUCAAGUCAUAUAAUCGGAAGCAAAGUGUAAAGUUGCUAACUAGAAUGAUUUCUUUUGGUUUAUGUGUAAAAUUUGAUGCCAAAUUAGUGAGGGAGAUUUGAAACCUGCCCACUAAAAUCAACUCUAGUUAUUAUUUUAUCACUUAUGAAGAGAUUCUUUUUUUCAAGGACACACAAAAAGAAAGUCCCAUAUUCAAGCUUCAAGUAAACAACCAGUGUCGGGCUGAACAGUUAAGAUAUAAAGACUUCUGAGGAGCUCAACAACAAGUCAAACAAGUGGGUCA